GAAAAGAAACCAACAGGGAUUGCCUCAGUAACGGCGAGUGAAGCGGCAAGAGCUCAAAUUUGAAAUCUGGCGCCACCGGCGUCCGAGUUGUAAUUUGGAGAGGCAUCUUCAGGAGGGGCCCGGCCUAUGUUCCUUGGAACAGGGCGUCGCAGAGGGUGAGAAUCCCGUUCUCGGCCGGACCGUCCCUCCGGCUCGAAGUGCCUUCUACGAGUCGAGUUGUUUGGGAAUGCAGCUCAAAAUGGGUGGUAAAUUUCAUCUAAAGCUAAAUACUGGCGAGAGACCGAUAGCGCACAAGUAGAGUGAUCAAAAGAUGAAAAGCACUUUGAAAAUAGAGUCAAACAGCACGUGAAAUUGUUGAAAGGGAAGCGCUUGAGACCAGACUCGGCCAUCACUAAUACC
rnacentral:rRNA from 1 species